GUUCACAUUAUUUUUAAAAAGUGAUGGGCUCCCAUAUUGGCAGAGGCAUUGAGGCACUCAGCAGGGUCAACUGGGACAGUGCUUCUGAGCAAAGUAUGAAGUAAAUCUCCUGUCAAAGGAUUGGAGAGAAGGAACCAACCGUCUUUCACUCACCCACUUAGAACCUUCUGGAAGCCCUGACUGCCUUGCUGUAAGGUCGGCUGAAUGGAAAGAGACAAAGGCUGUUGGCCCUGAUAACAGAGGACAUGGAGAACACUGACGGGCCAGCACAGAGAGGUGUCAAACCUACAUUGCAGCCUGAAGGAUGUCUUCACUUCCUCCUGCUCCUUCGCCUUGUAUCCUUCAUAGAUUUUUCCCGCAAUAAAACUUUGCA
rnacentral:lncRNA from 1 species